GCAGAGUAAGCAGGCAGGAAGCAUCCCUGGGCACUGUGCUCAGCAGUGCUUGGAACUCUACCAAGUAAAUCUGAUGAGGACAGGAUCCACCCAAGAGGAGACAAGAAUAUCUUGGUUUUGUAAGGAAAAUAUUAAACAAC
rnacentral:lncRNA from 12 species